rnacentral:rRNA from 2 species
UCCGAAUUGUGCAAUCUUUAAUCGGAAUUACUGGGCGUAAAGCGCGCGUAGGUGGUUCGUUAAGUUGGAUGUGAAAGCCCCGGGCUCAACCUGGGAACUGCAUCCAAAACUGGCGAGCUAGAGUACGGUAGAGGGUGGUGGAAUUUCCUGUGUAGCGGUGAAAUGCGUAGAUAUAGGAAGGAACACCAGUGGCGAAGGCGACCACCUGGACUGAUACUGACACUGAGGUGCGAAAGCGUGGGGAGCAAACAGGAUGAGAAACCCCAGUAGUCC